rnacentral:lncRNA from 1 species
UCGUGGCAAUGUUUUUUUCUGAAAGCACCUGCAGAAAUGUAUCUUCUUUCUAGUUUCCAAAAAACUCAGAGGCCAUGGGGGAAGAGGGGACUAUGGCUGUCAGAUAGUGCAUGAGGUACAUUAGGAUACAGUAAUUUCAUCAUAAUUCAUAUUCAUAAUUCACAGUGAGGAAACCUGAAAGUUGCUACCAGCUACCAAUAAAUGAAAGGUGGGGCGGGGUCUCUGGGGGGCACGGCUUUGUGAGCCAGUGCCUGGACUCCCACGUGACAAAUGGAAGGGCAGCGCGUGGAGGGAACUCAAGGCCUGAUUGGUUCUUCCUAAGCAGGACACGAUCUCGUUGGCAGGGCAACCGGCCUUUAGUUGGUGGCCUUCAGUGGGUGGCUUAAGUUGGUGGCAUUUGGUUGCCUUUCCUGGGGAGAGGCGGCAGGUGCUCAGCUCUGCAGACGUGGGGGCAAGAGAAGGCCCAAGCUGCCUCGAGAAGAGCAGAGGUGCCCCAUGGGGACCAUGAUGACCGGUCGCAUGUGCCAAAGCCAGCCCCCGGCAGGGCCAGCGCAGGGUUUCUGCGGGGCCGUCCUGUGGCUCUGAUAUCUAUGAGUGGGUGGCCAGCAAAGGCACAGGCACCAGCAGAAAGGAGCAGAGAUGCCCAGAACAUGCUGUCCCCCAAUGCCAGCCCCAAGCGAGGCCAGCUUAGGGUGCGGUGGGCAGAGCCAUCCUGCAGCUCUGAGAUCCACGAAGUGGAGGUGGGAGUAGCGCCAGGCUCCACGGCGUUGGAGCUCUCACAACUUGAGCUCAAUUUUAUUCCGGAGCCAUGACCUGCAGCACAUUGGUGACCAGAAGACGCCCAAAGGCAUUGUGUGAUCAAAGCAAAAUAAAUAUGUUCUUGUUUCUGGAAUUACUAAAGCUUUGAAAAUGGACUUAUCGACCUCAAACCAAUGGGACAUAUUCCUACAUGGCCUUCUCCCCUGUUAGGGUUCCCAGGGUAUGUCUUUAAUGUCUGGUUUAAUAGAAGAAGACUUGGUUCUCCUUUCUGCUUCUAUGUUUAAUUUCUUGUGACAUCCCACGUCA